GCCAGAGUAGUGUAGUGGUUUAAGCAUUGGGCUAGGACCCCAGACCAGGGUUCAAAUCCCCAUUCAGCCA